GGGACGAUAUGACGGUACCAGCAGGAGUAAGCCCCGGCUAACUUACGUGCCAGCAGCCGCGGUAAUACGUAGGUGGCAAGCGUUGUUCGGAAUUACUGGGCGUAAAGGAUGUCGUAGGCGGAUGUUUAAGUGGAGAUGUGAAAUACCCGAGCUCAACUUGGGUGAUGCAUUUCAAACUGGAUAUCUAGAGUGCAGGAGAGGA
rnacentral:rRNA from 1 species